UACAGAGGUGGCAAGCGUUGUUCGGAAUUACUGGGCGUAAAGGGCGCGUAGGCGGCCGCCUAAGUCAGACGUGAAAUCCCCAAGCUUAACUUGGGAACUGCGUCUGAUACUGGGUGGCUUGAGUUCGGGAGAGGAAUGUGGAAUUCCAGGUGUAGCGGUGAAAUGCGCAGAUAUCUGGAGGAACACCGGUGGCGAAGGCGGCAUUCUGGACCGAAACUGACGCUGAGGCGCGAAAGCCAGGGGAGCAAACGGG
rnacentral:rRNA from 1 species